AUGACCGAGAAUGACCCGAGGCACCGGUGCUCACGGCGGCCUUCCUCUUCUCGGUGGCCGUGCAUCAUCUGUGACUCCAGUAAUAAAUGCAGUGGAAAGAGGAAGAAGAAGAAGAAAGAAGAAGAAGGAGAAGGAGAAGGAGAAGGAGAAGGAGAAGAAGGAGAAGGAGAAGGAGAAGAAGAAGAAGAAGAAGAAGAAGAAGAAGAAGAAGAAGAAGAAGAAGAAAGAAGGAGGAGGAGGAGGAGGAGGAGAAUGUUUCCAGUAAGGAAAGCAGGAAAUGAAAGCCAUUUGUGAGUGUAAGUGUUAGUUAGCUGUUUUGCCCUUGCAAAUGGCUGGAUGGGAUUAUCCUCCACUCCUCAAUCCUUUCAAAGAAAAGAAAAAAAAAAAUUCCUGCUGUUUGUUGUUACUAGAUCCAGUGACCAGGUCCACACAAGCCCCACAGACUGGGGAGUAGUUCUCUACAGGGACUUCACACCUGCUGCUGUGCAGGGCUCCCAUCUUCCCACCUGAAUGCUCUUUGAACGGCCGUGCAGGUAUCACAGAGUCAUGACUGCUAUCAGGGAAGCUGCCUCUCUCGAAGACUCGGAAUUGUUUGGACAUCACUAUAAUAUGUUUGUAGAAUGACGUUGUUACCAAGGUACAUGAUGGCAGAGCAGAAAGAGCAUAGAUUCUGUUCUAUUCUGUUCUAUUCUAUUCUAUUCUAUUCUAUUCUAUUCUAUUCUAUUCUAUUCUAUUUGAGAGAGAGAGAGAGAGAGUGAGCAAGAGGGAGAACACAAGUAAGGGGAGCUGCAGUUGGACAAGGAGAAGCAGGCUCCUCACCAAGGAGGGAGCCUGAUAUGGGGCUCGAUCCCAGGACCCUGGGAUCGUGACCCAAGCCUAAGGCAGACACUUAACUGACUGAGCCACCCAGGUACCCCAAGAACAUGGAUUCUGAACUCAAAAUCUUGGUUCCACCUUCCCAGGCAUGUCAUCUUGCACAAAGUCAUUUUACCUAAGCCUCAGUUUCUGCAUCUAUAAAAUAAGGAUAAUAAUUCAUCGAUUUUUUUGGAGGGAGGUAAAUGUGAUAACAGUUUUUUUUUAGUGUGUCUUGAAUGUAAAAGGCUCUUUAGCAAUUAUUAGCUAUUAUUAUUGUCCUUGUUUUGAGUGUUGGUAUAAUUUCCUUCAUUAAUCGUUACACUUAAAAUUUAUACUCCCUCUUUGCCAAUCCGAUAUUUUUAUUCUUGAGUCUCUCAUGGUCCUGGAAUGUUGGUUAAACAGCUGUCUCCUCUACCAGGUUGGAAAGGCCUUGGGGACA
rnacentral:lncRNA from 1 species